CACUGAGUGGUGAAGAUGGUUAACACCCUUGGCUGCUAACCAAAUGGUUGGUGGUUCAAGCCUGCCCUAAGGCA
rnacentral:tRNA from 1 species